rnacentral:rRNA from 1 species
UACAGAGGUGGCAAGCGCUGUUCGGAAUUACUGGGCGUAAAGGGUGCGUAGGCGGCUAUCCAAGUCAGACGUGAAAGGCCUGGGCUCAACCCGGGAACUGCGUUUGAGACUGGGUGGCUGGAGUCCGGGAGAGGUGAGCGGAAUUCCCAGUGUAGAGGUGAAAUUCGUAGAUAUUGGGAAGAACACCGGUGGCGAAGGCGGCUCACUGGACCGGUACUGACGCUGAGGCACGAAAGCGUGGGGAGCAAACAGG